ACAUGAAGGAAAGAGGGCAGCAUCAAUUGCCCCAAAAUCCAGCAGACCUCACAUAAUAAUUCAACGAAACAUCUACCACAAAGAGCAGGUUUAUUCCAAUCACUCCAGCAUUUCAUUUUAUUUGUGCUUUCUGUUCUACUUUUUCUUCUUCCGCAAAAAAGAUCAGGUCUUUGGGGUUUUGCCUUGAUUAUCAAUCUUUUCUUCAGUUUAGUCUUAAGAUUCAUUUCAGAAAGGUGAAAACAAACUAAGGUUGGGUUCUGAUUUGUUCUCUAUUAUUAAUUUGUUUAUUUUGAAUUUCUUACGUGACUUCUAAGUUCUCUUCAUUUUUUUUUCUUCUAUUUUACUUUCUUUAAAAGAUUGGUCAUUAAAAGACUGAACCCCAACAGGUUAUUGCAUAUCUAUUAUUUAUACCAGUAGAAUGAACAAUAAAAUUUGUUACUUAGGGUCUGCUGACUCCUUUUUUGGUUUGAAUGUUAUAAAUGCAGUUAUCUUGUGGUAAUAAGCUUGUGAAAAAAUGUAUUCCGGACAAAGAAACAAACCAAAUUUGCAUAUGCUUGUUAAUCGAUCUCUGUCCUUCAGAGUUAGAUUAUAAACUUCAUGUAUACCGGGAGAUGAAGACAAGUAGUACUUGGAACAAAAAAAAGAGGUAAAAAUUGCUACUCCUUAUAGAUAGCUAUUUUGUAUAUGAAUUAUUUCCAGUAAUGUUAGAUUGAAUGUUUAGUUACAUGAAAAUCUUAGUUUUGUCGUGCUGCUUCUUGAAUUUAUCCUCAAAAAGAGAAAAAAACGGAAGUUAAUUGGUCAGCACAACUGAAGUCUAAGUAGUGUUCUCAGUUUGUUAAAGCAUCUGUUAUUUUUAUUUUACUAUUUUAAAAAUAUACGCUCUAGCGAAACCAAUAACUAUAUAGAUUCAAAAUUGAUGCAAAAAGGAGAAGUUCUCUACCUGAGAAUAUCAAGUGUAAUUUUUUAUAUUUAAGGUUAUGAUUUUUAUGCCAAUUAAAUGUACCUGUUGUAUCCUGAUAUGUGUCUGUUUACCUCAGGGGCGGAUCUACCUUAUGAGGUAGGGGUACCACGGCACCCGCUCGCUUCAAUAAAAUCCUUACUACGUACAUAAUAUCUCUGUGAAGAAACGUAUAUAUGGAUAGAGUGACACCUAGAAGUCACAAAGUGAAAGCGGGUGUCAUUGGUUUAGCCUUCCCUUUGAAGGCUUUCUUUGGCCUCAUGAAUGCAAGUUUGAUUCCCUGUUGGAGCAGCUCCUUUGAUUUUUUAUUUUUUCUACUUAUUAAGAUUUUCUUUAUUUUCAAUUGAGCCCUAGGGCCUCACCUCUUUUCCUUCUUUUUCGGCUCUUUCCCUCCUUAUCUUACUUUUAUUACUUGCUAAGUCUCUCUUCUUCAUUUUUUUAACUUUCAGUCCUCAUUUUUUUUUUCUAUUAUUAUACCUUACUUUAUGAACAAUUAUUUUCUAUAGGUAAUUUGAAUUGAUUUUAAUUAGCAUAUAAUUUUUUUUUAUUUUUAAUGAAACGAUAUUAAUUUAUAUAUUGAAAUAUAAUUUGAGCAAUAUCUUCUAUUGGGUUUUGAAAAAAAAAUUAAAUGGCUUGAUUGAUAGUCGUUUUGAGUCAAAUAUCAUAGGUUGAAUGUUGAAGGUUUUUCUUUGAAAAUAAUUGUCAUAUAACUCAACAAUUAAGAUAGAAAAAUAAACAAAAAACAAUACAAGUAAAUUAAUCUAGUCAAACAAAGAAUAUAUAGUGUAGUUAAGCUACUCUUUAAGCAAAUAUUUAUAUUGGAGGCGCUCUUUCAUGAAAUAUUAUUUUUCUUUUGCAUUUUUAUUUAGAAUGUGUUUAAAUUAAGCGUUAAAAAUUUGAACUAAAAUAACUUAUUUUUUGUGAAUAAAAUGCCUAUUCAAAUUAACCAAAAACUAAGGAACCGACCCAUUAUUCCUAAUUUGUCUUUGUAGCUACUGAUAUGUAUACUGUAUGCAUAACAUGGUGGCACCCGCAACCUUCGAAUCCUGGAUCCGCCUCUGGUUUACCUUAUUGUUCAACCUACCUGGGCUACUGUUUGUCGAAUUUACAAUAGAAAUAUAGUAAGUGAUAAUUUUGUUAAUGUUUGAAAGUGAAGUUUUUGUAGCGACAAUGCUUGGUGAACAUGUUGAUGAGAUUUGAAUUGUUGGGAGUAUCUACCAUAACUAUGUAUCAGCAUAAAUUUCAACAGUUUCUAUCCCUGAAUUUCUUUACAACGAGGCAUUUGAAAUCACCUUUUGUGGGUUCCAAUCAUAAUUUCCUUAAAACGUUGAUUAAUUUAUACUAUACUAUCAAUGCAUAGUAUUGAUAAGUCGAGUUAAGCAUAAUGUAGUGAUGGCAUAAAGUGGCUAAUUUUCACCCCAAAUUUUGGCCUUAAAAACUUUCAAUCAUGACCAAGUCGAAUAGCUGCCCCGCCAGAACUUUCUUUUGCAUAACUUUUAAUCUUUUAAUAUCCUUAGUUAUAGAUGCAAUUUUGGACUUUGGUUCGACUCCUACUCUGGAUUUCUGUAUAUAUAGUUAGGACUAACAGGUAAAUAUUCCUGAUUUGGGAAUUUUCCUGAAAUAUUAAAAUGUACUGCACAAUAAAUUAAAUAUAAAGCACUCAGAAUAUUUAAAAUAUUUUUCUGAUUAUUUAGUCUUCCAUUGUGGCAAUUUGCAACAGAUUGCUCUUCGAAUUUUUGGUUUACAUGAUUAGAGGUGUAAACCCAGAUGGUCCCUUAUGACAUUUUCUCUACACAGGCAAACUUACAUGUCUGCACAACUGAGUAUCAUUUCAUUUUUCUAAUUUUCUUCGACAUUUAAUUGUUGCAUUUCCUCGAAAGACCCGUGUCAGUAUUAAUUAAAAUAAUUUUCUUUAAAAAUUAAUUUAGCCAAUCCUUAUUCGUCAGCAAAAUGUUUAUGCUUGAAUGAACCACAAAUAGAACUACAGUACAAAUUAGAAGAAAUAAUGACUAUCACCAGCCCUACAAUAUUGAUAAUUGAUAAAUGAUCAUUAAAGGAACAAAAAAAAUGAUUCAAAAAGAUCUUUAAGUCUAAGGAAGGACAUUGUUCUGGAUAUGUAAAUUUAUAAUAGUGUUGACCUACAUGUUUACAUCUUGUCCACGUUUCUAUGUUUUUAUUUUUUGAUAAAUUUAGUUGGAAAUAUAAUGGCCACACUAUUUUGAUUUCACAGGUUCUUCAAAAUGCUGGCCUGGGAAGCAGAAACAAUGCUUCUACUAAAAUAAAAUACAUGACUUCGACUAAAAUAGGUGAUUCUGCACUUCUUUAGUCUAUUGUCAUAUGCUUAUUCAUAAUGCUAAAUAGUUAUGCUUUAUAUUUCAUGUUAUUGUGUUAAUAUGUCUCUACUUUAGUAAUAAAUUUAUAUGCCUACAAAUAACAGAAAGAUGGACAACGCAACGUUCAUAUCUUGGUGGAAAAAAUAGUGAUAAAUGCCUUAGACAACAUAUAUCACAUGGAGAGAAAUGGUACAUAAUUAAUUUUCCAUAAGACUCUUAAACAUCAUAAGAUUUGAUGCUAUAGAAAAACAUUCAUUAACUUCUAGCACUAGCAAAUAUUUUUAUCUCAGCUAUAAUGGUUCCUUAUACUUCGACAUGGUACAAAUAUAUAAAUUUGAUAUUUUUAGGUUAAGACAAUAAUUCAACUUUACUUCAGUCUUUAAACAAUUUUUUUUAUGUUAAAUCAAAAAUUUAUAAGCUCCUUGGGCCCGGGCUACCGCCAACUAGUAUUUAAGAAGAGGGAAAUGUGCUGCAUGUGUCUCCACCUUUAUCUAUUGUACAUUUCAACUCUAGGAACAAUUCCUAGAGUUGUACCGAUAAAUAUUCACAUUCCAUAAAAUGCUCUUGGAAUUUUUUCGUGAUUUUUGUCCAAAUUUAUUAACAAAUGGCCAAAUAUUAAUAACUUUGAAAAGCUGGCUAAAACUUAAUAUCAGUCUAAAAAUAGGUAUUUUCCAAUUUCUUGUAGAAAUGACACUAGGUAGCCACUCUAAAGGGCUAUUAUUUAAAAAUUAGCAAAUACGUCCUGAAUUUUAGUUUUAAAGUACUGACUAAUCUCUAAACAGCUUCCUGAGAAUGGUUAUCUAUGCCCUUGCCCCCAAUUUCUUCCAUUCAUUAACCGCGGAUUACGUCCAAGAUCUUUUGCAGUCGGCCCAUUGCCUAAAUGCAUUUAACCAGCAACGGAGUCACGGCCCACUUCGCUGCACUAAGAAUUGCUGG
rnacentral:lncRNA from 1 species